GCUCCAUGAGGCGUUUCCCACAAGGCCACAAGGUGAGGCCGUGAGAUGCAGACCACCGUCCGGGGCCCUCGCCGAUGCCGGCGGCAAGUAGGGACGUGUUGCGGUAGCAAGGCCCGCAUCCGGCGCGGCCAAUCCCGGGACUAAACUGUGGCAGCUGCUCCCUUGCCUAUGUUCUCCUCAGUUCAAGCUCAGAGACAAUUCACACAAGGUGAGAUGCGGUCUGCCGUCCGAGGCCGUCGCCGUCGCCGGCGGCAGGGCGAGAGCUAUGCUGUGUAGCACCGUUUGCGUCCGGCGUGCCUAAGUUGUGGCAGCUGCUCCAUGCUGUUGUUCCCUGCCAACAACAUCGCGCGCGGGGGCGGUCAACGAGUACCUUGAGAUACAACAGGGGCUCAUGUAGAUUCAUUUCAAGUUUGGAACUCGAUGCAAGCUCAGAGGCAGAGAUUCAAGGCGCAAAAACGUACCUAUGCAUGAUGAAGUGCCAGGAGCUGCUUCCAUGCUCAAGAACACAGUGGAUGCAUGCUGAUCCACAGAGAGAGCACUUUUCUAUCAAUCCUGAUCUAUUCUCAUGUGAUCUAGGGGGCAACAUCGACAGUGUAGUAGAUGGGCAGGAGAAAGGAUGUAGCCGGGAAGAUAUCUUGGUGGUAAUCUGUUGUUACAUAGGAGAAAAAAAGUUUGUUUUGUUGAUUAUAUGGAACAAAUUAGAGAGAUACGCUGUGUUUUAUUA